rnacentral:rRNA from 1 species
UACGGGGGGGGCAAGCGUUGUUCGGAAUUACUGGGCGUAAAGGCUCGUAGGUGGCCAACUAAGUCAGACGUGAAAUCCCUCGGCUUAACCGGGGAACUGCGUCCGAUACUGGAUGGCUUGAGUUCGGGAGAGGGAUGCGGAAUUCCAGGUGUAGCGGUGAAAUGCGUAGAUAUCUGGAGGAACACCGGUGGCGAAGGCGGCAUCCUGGACCGACACUGACGCUGAGGAGCGAAAGCCAGGGGAGCAAACGGG